rnacentral:rRNA from 1 species
CGGCAAGAGCUCAAAUUUGAAAUCUGGCACCGCUAGGUGUCCGAGUUGUAAUUUGUAGAGGAUGCUUCGGGAGAGGCUGCGGUGUAAGUUCCUUGGAACAGGACGUCAUAGAGGGUGAGAAUCCCGUCUGGCGCCGCCGGCCCUCGCCCGUGUGAAGCUCCUUCGAC